rnacentral:tRNA from 2 species
GGGGAGAUGCCCGAGUGGCUAAAGGGGGCGGACUGUAAAUCCGUUGACUAAGUCUACGAUGGUUCGAAUCCAUCUCUCCCCACCA